rnacentral:rRNA from 1 species
GAUGAACGCUGGCGGCGUGCUUAACACAUGCAAGUCGAACGGUGAACGAGGGAGCUUGCUCCUUCCGGAUCAGUGGCGAACGGGUGAGUAACACGUGAGCAAUCUGCCCCGAACUCUGGGAUAAGCGCUGGAAACGGCGUCUAAUACCGGAUACGACGCGCGAAGGCAUCUUCUGCGCGUGGAAAGAAUUUCGGUUCGGGAUGAGCUCGCGGCCUAUCAGCUAGUUGGUGAGGUAACGGCUCACCAAGGCGACGACGGGUAGCCGGCCUGAGAGGGUGACCGGCCACACUGGGACUGAGACACGGCCCAGACUCCUACGGGAGGCAGCACUGGGGAAUAUUGCACAAUGGGCGCAAGCCUGAUGCAGCAACGCCGCGUGAGGGACGACGGCCUUCGGGUUGUAAACCUCUUUUAGUAGGGAAGAAGCGAAAGUGACGGUACCUGCAGAAAAAGCACCGGCUAACUACGUGCCAGCCGCCGCCGUAAAAC